rnacentral:rRNA from 1 species
AACGAACGCUGGCGGCAUGCCUAACACAUGCAAGUCGAACGAGACCUUCGGGUCUAGUGGCGCACGGGUGCGUACCGCGUGGGAACCUGCCCUUAGGUUCGGAAUAACUCCCCGAAAGGGGUGCUAAUACCGGAUAAUGUCUUCGGACCAAAGAUUUCUCGCCUUUGGAUGGGCCCGCGUUGGAUUAGCUAGUUGGUAGGGUAAAAGCCUACCAAGGCGACGAUCCAUAGCUGGUCUGAGAGGAUGAUCAGCCACACUGGGACUGAGACACGGCCCAGACUCCUACGGGAGGGAGCAGUGGGGAAUAUUGGACGAGGGGCGAAAGCCUGAUCCAGCAAUGCCGCGUGAGUGAGGAAGGCCCUAGGGUUGUAAAGCUCUUUUACCCGGGAUGAUAAUGACAGUACCGGGAGAAUAAGCACCGGCUAACUCCGUG